rnacentral:misc_RNA from 1 species
CAACCCUCAGGGCUCCCCCUUUUCGGAGGCGGGAGACACCCCUGGUGUUGGGGGACGGCACCCCGGCCACUGUCUCAGUGCGCCACGCCGCCCCCGAAAUGAAUUGGCGGCCUCGUCGCGUGCCACCCCUGCGUAGUAGCACAACCUCGCAACGGGAGCCCGACGCGGCCACUGCCGUAAAACGCCCCAACUUUUACAG